rnacentral:tmRNA from 1 species
GGGGGUGUUUUGGUUUCGACAGGGGCAAAAGUGAAUAUAAGAAGCAAGUCAGGGUUGUUCCUGUAAAAAAACCUUUUUUAAAUAUAACUGGAAAUAAUAAUUACGCAUUAGCUGCCUAGAGCAGCUACACUUCCUUGUAAUUUGAGUUGGAGAAAUUCAAGAGAAGUGUCAAAAUUAUCCAACUUACUUUAAAUUUUUUCUCUGUGAUUUAAAGGAAAAUUUAAGAGAUAGUAUAUUAAAAGUUAGCUCUUAUACUUUAAAUAUACGAAUUUUAAAUAAGAGCUAAACUUGUAGAAACUUAUAGAAACUUGUCUUUGGACACGGGUUCGAUUCCCGUCACCUCCACCA